rnacentral:rRNA from 1 species
GAUGAACGCUGGCGGCGUGCCUAAUACAUGCAAGUCGAGCGAAUGGAUUAAGAGCUUGCUCUUAUGAAGUUAGCGGCGGACGGGUGAGUAACACGUGGGUAACCUGCCCAUAAGACUGGGAUAACUCCGGGAAACCGGGGCUAAUACCGGAUAACAUUUUGAGCCGCAUGGUUCGAAAUUGAAAGGCGGCUUCGGCUGUCACUUAUGGAUGGACCCGCGUCGCAUUAGCUAGUUGGUGAGGUAACGGCUCACCAAGGCAACGAUGCGUAGCCGACCUGGGAGGGGGAUCGGCAACACUGGGACUGAGACACGGCCCAGACUCCUACGGGAGGCAGCAGUAGGGAAUCUUCCGCAAUGGACGAAAGUCUGACGGAGCAACGCCGCGUGAGUGAUGAAGGCUUUCGGGUCGUAAAACUCUGUUGUUAGGGAAGAACAAGUGCUAGUUGAAUAAGCUGGCACCUUGACGGUACCUAACCAGAAAGCCACGGCUAACUACGUGCCAGCCGCCGCAGUAA